UGCACUUAAAAAUUAAAUAAAUACUAAAACAUAGGGUUUACAUUAGCAGAACCUAAACAAAAAGAAAGGCUCGUCGCCGCUCUGGGGAUUCAUUGCCUCCGAAGACUCCCAAUCUUCGCCCCAACUCUGAUGGCUGCGGAGUGAGCAAAAAUAUGGCCCUCAGGUAUGCCCCUCUUCCCUUUUGUUUCCCCUUUUCUCCUUUAACAGAUGACUAAUGUAUGUAAAAACAAAAGGAAAGAAGGAAAACGAUCUGCGAAAAAGAAAAGAGAACCGAAAAUCACCUUUUGGAACUUUUUUUUGAUUUCUGUAUUCCGAAAAUGCGUGUAAAUCGUUUACAGUGUUCGAAUGGCUUCUUUAUAGCCCUAUUUACAGAAAAUAAAAUAAAAUAAAUGAUGUUCUUUUUCUAUUUGUUGCUGCUUCUGUGUGUUCGCUUGUAUUUGCAGGUACUUGGCCAGCCUAGAGGUACGGAGGUGGCCGUACGGAGGCAUGCGUGGCGUGCGAAGGCAUCACGCGCGUGAGGAGUGGCUCGAAGGGGAGCCUAUGCGUGGCAACGGCGGCUGAAGGCUUCCAGAAACCCUAAUGAUUUCUGGAAUACUUUUUCAAAAUAGGCUAAUUGGGCUGAAUCGGGUUUUGGGUUAGGUGUUGGGCCACUGUAACUGGGCCAAUCAGAUUUAGUGUUCGGUCAUGGGCAUUUGGGCUAGUUGGGUUUGGGUAGUGGAUUUGGGCUAAUUAGGUUUGGGUAGUGGAUUUGGGCCAUUAGGCCUGCUGUAAAAAAAUGGACUGUAUUAUUAUUUUUUAGACUUUAAUUUUUAAUUUUUAAUUUUGGUUUACUUCUUACGGGCCUGGGCAAAAAUGACCUAUUACAAGAAAUAUAUAAACAUAUAUAUUAUAAAAUAUGUGUAAAAAAGAAUAUAUAUUUGUGCAUAAAUAUAUACGUGUAUAUAUAUAUAAAUAAAAAAUAUUUGUUAGAAAUAUAUAUAUACACGCAUGUGCA
rnacentral:lncRNA from 1 species